rnacentral:tmRNA from 1 species
GGGGAUGCGAGUUUUGACUUAGGUUGAGGUCGGUAAUUAUGGCAAUAAUCCGGUUUUGAAAAAAUCAAGACGAAGAAACUAAUGAAAUUCCUGUUGGAUUGUUUAAUGGCAACCCAGGAUACAACUACGCGAGAAUAUAAUUUUUCUCAACUAGUUCUUGUCGUUCUCCCAAUUCGUUCGGCUCGCUAUAAAAUUUGGGUCAAUUAUUAAAGUUUGGUUAUUAUACUUGUUAAUUGUCACUCUCUUACAUAUAAAAAUAUCCUACCUAUUAAAAAAUAUUCGUUUAUUAGUAUUUGAUAGGGAAAUUCAAUAAUAAACUAAGUUGUAGAGGUAAUUACUAACCGUCUAAGGACAGGGGUUCAAUCCCCUCAUCUCCACCA